UUGGUUUUACUUUUUUUUUCC
rnacentral:piRNA from 1 species